rnacentral:misc_RNA from 1 species
GAGGAGGACGCCGAAGGUGGGGCUGAUGACUGGGGUGAAGUCGUAACAAGGUAGCCGUACCGGAAGGUGUGGCUGGAUCACCUCCUUACAAGGAGACCUACCCUCUUAUCGUGUUGAUAACACAGCAUAAGAAUGGUCAACUAGGUCGUUCGAAGCUUUCCACUCAACCUGUUUAGCCAGGUUGAAUUUCUACUGUGCUUCUAAACUAUCCCGGUUCAGGGAUGGGGGCUAUUAGCUCAGGUGGUUAGA